UGACGCUUAACUGGUCUGAGAGGAUGAUCAGUCACACUGGAACUGAGACACGGUCCAGACUCCUACGGGAGGCAGCAGUAGGGAAUAUUGCGCAAUGGGGGAAACCCUGACGCAGCAACGCCGCGUGGAGGAUGACACUUUUCGGAGCGUAAACUCCUUUUCUUAGGGAAGAAUUCUGACGGUACCUAAGGAAUAAGCACCGGCUAACUCCGUGCCAGCAGCCGCGGUAAUACGGAGGGUGCAAGCGUUACUCGGAAUCACUGGGCGUAAAGGGCGCGUAGGCGGAUUAUCAAGUCUCUUGUGAAAUCUAAUGGCUUAACCAUUAAACUGCUUGGGAAACUGAUAGUCUAGAGUGAGGGAGAGGCAGAUGGAAUUGGUGGUGUAGGGGUAAAAUCCGUAGAUAUCACCAAGAAUACCCAUUGCGAAGGCGAUCUGCUGGAACUCAACUGACGCUAAGGCGCGAAAGCGUGGGGAGCAAACAGGAUUAGAUACCCUGGUAGUCCACGCCCUAAACGAUGUACACUAGUUAUUGGGGUGCUAGUCAUCUCAGUAAUGCAGCUAACGCAUUAAGUGUACCGCCUGGGGAGUACGGUCGCAAGAUUAAAACUCAAAGGAAUAGACGGGGACCCGCACAAGCGGUGGAGCAUGUGGUUUAAUUCGAAGAUACGCGAAGAACCUUACCUGGGCUUGAUAUCCUAAGAACCUUUUAGAGAUAAGAGGGUGCUAGCUUGCUAGAACUUAGAGACAGGUGCUGCACGGCUGUCGUCAGCUCGUGUCGUGAGAUGUUGGGUUAAGUCCCGCAACGAGCGCAACCCACGUAUUUAGUUGCUAACGGUUCGGCCGAGCACUCUAAAUAGACUGCCUUCGUAAGGAGGAGGAAGGUGUGGACGACGUCAAGUCAUCAUGGCCCUUAUGCCCAGGGCGACACACGUGCUACAAUGGCAUAUACAAUGAGACGCAAUACCGCGAGGUGGAGCAAAUCUAUAAAAUAUGUCCCAGUUCGGAUUGUUCUCUGCAACUCGAGAGCAUGAAGCCGGAAUCGCUAGUAAUCGUAGAUCAGCCAUGCUACGGUGAAUACGUUCCCGGGUCUUGUACUCACCGCCCGUCACACCAUGGGAGUUGAUUUCACUCGAAGCCGGAAUACUAAACUAGUUACCGUCCACAGUGGAAUCAGCGACUGGGGUGAAGUCGUAACAAGGUAACCGUAGGAGAACCUGCGGUUGGAUC
rnacentral:rRNA from 1 species